UUCAACAUAUGGGUCUUAGAGAAAUUCAAGAGCUAACAGAUACCACACCAGAGGAAUUAACAGAAGACAAGGUGGAGAUAGAUGCUUCUGAACCACUGCCAGACAGUGAGAAAGAUGCAGAACAGUGCCAGAAAACAAACUGACAUUAGACAAUCUGGCAGAACGGUUCUGAAUAUACAAGACUACUCUUGACUUCUUUUACGACAUGGACCCUUCUAUGAUACAGGCAACAAGAUCAACCCCUCCUCUUCCUCCUCAGCCUACUCAACAGGAAGACAAGUAGGAUGCAGACCUUUACAAUGAGCCACUUCAACUUAAUGAAUAAUGGUGGCAGAAGAAAACACCGAAAACAAUACCACUACCCCACUCCCUUUAUUAGAAAAAAGUUAAAAUACAAAUUCUAUUACUGUUUACCUAGGACCUAACUUCACACGGCUGACAUUUCUCAAAGAUAGGUCAUAGGAUCCCCAUUCCAGAAAGGGUGCUGUUCCAUACCCGGAAGGAAAGAAUGCUGCACAGAGAGGCCAAGAAGAAUCUAUACAGACAGGCAGGCCUUGCUGGGUUUCCCCACUCAGUAUAUGGCUGUCCAGACUUUGCUGAACCUAAGCAUACCAAUGGGCAGUUUUCUCCUAUAUCUUUAGGUCUUUAUUCUGAAGGCUCCCAUGUCACGUAACACCAAGAUCAAAUAAAAUCAUAUGCCCUUUCUCCUAUUAAUCUGCCUUUUUUCAGCUGAUUUUCAAAGAACCUUCAGAGGCUGAAAGGGAAGUUUUUUCUUGGCCCCUACAAUAUGCUACAACUCCAGUAAGUUAAUUAGUAAAUAUUAAACUAUUUUUGGAAGGAAAAAAAACUGAAAAUAACAUUGCUUUAGAGAUAAAUUAUUUAAGAAUUGCUAGAAAUUACCCUAGAAAUUAUCCUAGAAAAAUCUUAAAAUUUUCCCUAAAAACUUUUAGGAAUAAUACAUUGUUUCUAAUGAGACCCUUCAGCUUAUGCAAAAAGCACAGGAGACUAAAUUCUAGAGUCAACGAAACGAUAUUCUCCAAUUCUGUUUUGCUAAUGAAUAUGUUGUCCAUCCCCC
rnacentral:lncRNA from 1 species